rnacentral:siRNA from 1 species
CGAUGUCCUGUUUCAAACUUC